UACGUAGGGGGCAAGCGUUGUCCGGAUUUAUUGGGCGUAAAGAGCGUGUAGGCGGCCAGGUAGGUCAGCUGUGAAAACUCGAGGCUCAACCUCGAGACGCCGGUUGAAACCAUCUGGCUAGAGUCCGGAAGAGGAGAGUGGAAUUCCUGGUGUAGCGGUGAAAUGCGCAGAUAUCAGGAAGAACACCAAUGGCGAAGGCAGCUCUCUGGGACGGUACUGACGCUGAGACGCGAAAGCGUGGGGAGCAAACAGG
rnacentral:rRNA from 1 species